CUCACUCACCAAGGGCCGCGCCGGGGUUCUGCACUGUCACUGCGCUGCGGUUCCCCGCCUUAGGGAUUCUCACACGGUUCCACGGCUCCAGGCCCGGCGGCACCGCAGCCAUCAUGCGAGGCGGGGGGACUUACGAAAGGCGGAGCUACGCGAGAGCACGUCCAGCGACCGGAGUCUGGAACAGUUCCUCGUUCUUUCUCUGGCUCUGGAUCUGCGUCCCUGACAGUCUUAAAGAGGACAGACCUUUCAUUCAUGAGGAUGACCCUCAACUUGGCCCAGUCCAUGUUUCCUCAGACUCAAGCCUUGCAUUCCUGGCAGAAAGACUGAAGAAAUGAUGCUGUGCUCUUCUCAGUGCUUCGCGUCAGGAGGCUCUACUCUCUCAACCGGCCCCACUAUUGUCUCUUGAAGGUGCAGCUGUGUGGCUUGGCCAUGAGGAUCGGAGAGGAUAUAAAGAGGGCAGGAGAGGGGACGACUCCCAUUUUGCCACCCUG
rnacentral:lncRNA from 1 species